GGCCGGAUAGGCAAGUGGCUAAGCCGAAGGUCUGCAAAACCUUUACCGUGGGUUCGAUUCCCACUCCGGCCU
rnacentral:tRNA from 5 species